AUUUUUAAUUUUAUUUUUUUAUUUGGGUUCAACAGUAUUUCUACAUUUCCAUGUGUUUAUUAUUUCUGGUUUAGUUUGUCUUUAAAUUAAAAUAUAUAUAUAUUUUUAGAAUUUGUUUUCAAUCUCAAGAAUUUCCAUUUACUGACUUACUGGUUGCUAAUUGGCCAAGUUGAAGCACAGCACAAGGAAAAGCAAAUGUUUUAUUUCUGAGGGUUCCUAUCCCAGUGGCCAGGCUAGGCCAGCAGUGGCAUGAUUGAGUAACCAUUACACUUAAACUGCAUGAGAGGUUACAUUCAAGACUAUAUUAUCUAAAACAUUUGUAUUUUUUAACCGGUUUGUUCUGAAAUAUUAUCGAGGACCUUUAGACCGCUGAUCACUUGAACUCUAUGCGCCAGAGUCGUGGACACUGCAGGAAGGACCCACUGUAGGAGGGACCCACUGCAGGGAUGACCCACUGUAGGACGGAAUGAAGAGUGCCACUAGAGGCAUGGCAUUCAUGUAUGUACCUCUUCUUGAAAGCUCUGAAAAUGUUGCCAGUUUCUGACUCAAUAAUGCAGCAAUUUUCCAAUGGACAAGUGUUAAUAUAGUGAGUCAUCAUUGGUUGUGGAUGAGGUGAGUUUCCCACUUACUAUGUAAAGUGCUUUCAGUACCUCGGUAGAAAGGCUCUAUAUAAAUCCAAUCCAUUAUCAGCAUUAUUAUUAUGAUGGCAUCUGUUGUAGUAUUUGACUUCAGGCAGCUGUUGGAUGAUGAUUAGAAAGAGUUAGGCCACGUGACAAUAGUGUCCAGACUCAUAUUAAUCCAUAUGUUACCAGUGAAAAACAUUAGCUUCAAUUUGAAUUAUUUCCAGUAUUGUCUCAUUACGUGUGUUCAGUACAAAACAAAUGGACAGAAGUGAUACCUUGCCAAAGACUCCCUGUGUAAAGGGCUGAGUUACCCUGCUCAGAUGUUGCAUGGGUUAAAGGAAAACUCCACUCAAAAACUAUCAUUUGGUCUUUUUUUCCUUAGUCUACCAUUGAUACAGUCCCAAAGUGUUUUGCAUGUCAGCAGUAAAGUUUUCAAGAUAUUGGACUUUUAAGAAGCCAAGUGUCACUUCAUCAUGAAGUUUCAAGUGACAACUUUGAUUCUUGAAAGUCAUAUCUUGAAAACUUUACUGCUGACAUGCAAAACACUUAGUCCACUGUUGAUACAGUCCCAAAGGAAAAAAAUACAGAUGAGUGGAUUUUUCCUUGAAGUGCCAUGUCAUCGACUGUGGAGUCUAGCACCAGAUUUCUAUAACAUGGUUAGCUGAUACGUUAAACGCCAAUCCAGGAAUUGUAAGAUUGGCAUGCAUCAACAACACCUGAGCAGGGGAACACAACCAUGUGUCCUUAUAUUGUCCCUCUCUCUGUGUCGACACCUCUCUGUGCUCUCUUCUCAAAAUCAUAACAGGAGAACCAUUCUUUCCUGUUUGAAUGUGGUUUUGACAACAGUGAGUUUAUACUGUUUGGCACACUGUGUGUGUGUAUAGUGAAAUUAUUCCCAAUGAUUUAACAGUUCUCUGUAGACUAUAACAGGCAAGUAAUUACUUAUUUUUACUGAGUGGAAAAACUGACUGAUUUUAUACAUUUCUUGAAUUUAAAUAGUGGCAUUUGUUUUGUCAUUUUCUUUGUCAUGUCUUAUUAUGACCUAUGUUUAACUUAUUUGGUUUAAUGUGGAGGAAAGUUAGACUCACUCUCUGAUAUGGUAAGCAGGAAUCUGAUGACAGUCAGUCAGUCAUACUGAUGCAUGCCAGAUCUUACAACACCUGGAUAGGUAUUUUACCUAUCAGCUAACCACAUAGUGUUAUAGCAAUCUGGUCCCCGACGGCACAGUUGAUGAUGUGGCACGCAAUCAUUGGUUGAUGCAUGUAACGUCUGAGCAGGGGAACACGACCCAUGUAUUGAAAAGCCCACCAUGUUAUUUACAAUCCAAAAUGGCUGCCGUGCAUCACCCAGGUGGAUGCUACAUAUUGUCAGUGGAUGGGAUGAAUUAACCCCAUGCAAUUAUGAGUGUUUUAAGACCUCAGUGAAAAGUGCUGCUUGAAUGUAAUACAUAGCAUUGCUGUUUGUUUACAUUAUGACACUACACCACUGCUUUUAUUUAUUUCAGGAGUUACAGUAGCAUGUGUAAACUGGCUACAGGCAACAGCAUUUUACAGUUCCAAAGUUAAACAGAAACAAAUAAAGAAAUGAACUUUAGUAACUGGCCUUUUCAUUCCUGAUGUCUUCCUCACAUUUGGCUCUGUCCUGGUUGUGCUCCUAACAGGGUGUGGCUUAGCAUCAGCCUGUCAACUAGACUGAUAAUGAAAAUUCUCUGAUAAAGCCCCUCACUGUAAAUUACUUGUGUUCAUUUUGGCUUUCCAAGGCCUCCAUCUAGUCACUUUUGAGGACACAUUUUCGGCUUCAUUGUAAACCAGAGUCUCAAGAUUGCGUUCAAUAUUGUUUUGUCGUCAUAUCUUUUUAUUUAGCCUCGAGUGACACUUUAGACUAAAUGGAAGUCCUUGUACCAACUGAAAUUUAUUUAGCCA
ensembl:lncRNA